UUGCCCACACAGGUGUGCUUUAUAGUUCUCUUGUCUUUGACUCUGCUAAAGCAAUGCCUGUUCUUUACCUCUGCGUUGAAAGGACUUUAUCUUUUUAAACAUAUUCAGAAAGUUAUCACAUUA